UCCUGUUUGGUUAGUAAUAAGGGGCAGAGGAGAAGCCGCCUGCCUCACUAUUCUAUGACAGCUAUUUCAGCUACUUAGGUAUAAGGUCAUUAAACACCCAAAUUAUGAUUCUUAUGCAAAUUUUACUUGAAGAAAUCUUUAUUUUUCUGAAGUUGCUAUCUAUCCUAAAGGAAGUCACUAUGCCUGAUUAAGAUUUAUGAAUAUGAACUGAACUCAGUGGUAACAAUUUGAAGAACCUUUAUUGAAACCAACGUUGAAAUAGUAUCUCAAGGGUGAAAUUCUGUUUCAGCAAAACCAAUUUAACAAUUCCAAAUAUAUAUAUAAAAACAUCUAAAAAUUAAUCUUGUUAAAGGUGAUAAUUUUCCCUUCCCCCAUUUUAUCUACUAUAUUUCAUUGCACCAAAUAAACAGGGAAGACUUUGAUCAUCUGCACCC